AGAGUUUGAUCAUGGCUCAGGAUGAACGCUAGCGGCAGGCCUAAUACAUGCAAGUCGAACGCUCAGUAGCAAUACUGGGAGUGGCGCACGGGUGCGUAACGCGUACACAAUCUACCUCUAAGCGGGGGACACCUCCUGGAAACGGGGAUUAAUACCGCAUAAUAUGCCGAGGUCGCAUGACUUUAGUAUUAAAGCAGCAAUGCACUUAGAGAUGAGUGUGCGUCCCAUUAGGUAGUUGGUGAGGUAACGGCUCACCAAGCCUAUGAUGGGUAGCCGGUCUGAGAGGAUGGUCGGCCACACGGGCACUGAGACACGGGCCCGACUCCUACGGGAGGCAGCAGUAAGGAAUAUUGGUCAAUGGUGGAAACACUGAACCAGCCAUGCCGCGUGGAGGAAUAAGGUCCUACGGAUUGUAAACUCCUUUUGACGAGGAAGAAAGUGUUAGAUUUAUCUAAUUUUGACGGUACUCGUAGAAUAAGCACCGGCUAACUCCGUG
rnacentral:rRNA from 1 species